CUGGCGGCCGUAGCGCGGUGGUCCCACCUGACCCCAUGCCGAACUCAGAAGUGAAACGCCGUAGCGCCGAUGGUAGUGUGGGGUCUCCCCAUGCGAGAGUAGGGAACUGCCAGGCAU
rnacentral:rRNA from 1 species